UGCCAGACUCCUACGGGAGGCAGCAGUGGGGAAUAUUGGGCAAUGGGCGCAAGCCUGACCCAGCAACGCCGCGUGAAGGAAGAAGGCUUUCGGGUUGUAAACUUCUUUUAAGAGGGAAGAGAAGAAGACGGUACCUCUUGAAUAAGCCACGGCUAACUACGUGCCAGCAGCCGCGGUAAUACGUAGGGGGCGAGCGUUAUCCGGAUUUACUGGGUGUAAAGAGUUCGUAGGCGGUAUGUUAAGUCUGGUGUUAAAUGCAGAAGCUCAACUUCUGUUCGGCACUGGAUACUGGCAAACUAGAAUGCGGUAGAGGUAAAGGGAAUUCCUGGUGUAGCGGUGAAAUGCUUAGAUAUCAGGAGGAACAUCGGUGGCGUAAGCGCUUUACUGGGCCGUAAUUGACGCUGAGGAACGAAAGCCAGGGUAGCAAAUGGGAUUAGAUACCCUAGUA
rnacentral:rRNA from 1 species